rnacentral:rRNA from 1 species
GAUGAACGCUGGCGGCGUGCCUAAUACAUGCAAGUCGAGCGAACGGACGAGAAGCUUGCUUUUCUGAUGUUAGCGGCGGACGGGUGAGUAACACGUGGAUAACCUACCUAUAAGACUGGGAUAACUUCGGGAAACCGGAGCUAAUACCGGAUAAUAUUUUGAACCGCAUGGUUCAAAAGUGAAAGACGGUCUUGCUGUCACUUAUAGAUGGAUCCGCGCUGCAUUAGCUAGUUGGUAAGGUAACGGCUUACCAAGGCAACGAUGCAUAGCCGACCUGAGAGGGUGAUCGGCCACACUGGAACUGAGACACGGUCCAGACGACUACGGAAGGCAGCAGUAGGGAAUCUUCCGCAAUGGGCGAAAGCCUAACGGAGCAACGCAGCGUGAGUGAUGAAGGUAUUCGGAUCGUAAAACUCUGUUAUUAGGGAAGAACAUAUGUGUAAGUAACUGUGCACAACUUGACGGUACCUAAUCAGAAAGCCACGGCUGACUACGUG